UAAGCACCGGCUAACUCUGUGCCAGCAGCCGCGGUAAUACAGAGGGUGCAAGCGUUAAUCGGAAUUACUGGGCGUAAAGCGAGCGUAGGUGGCUUGAUAAGUCAGAUGUGAAAUCCCCGGGCUUAACCUGGGAACUGCAUCUGAAACUGUUAGGCUAGAGUAGGUGAGAGGGAAGUAGAAUUUCAGGUGUAGCGGUGAAAUGCGUAGAGAUCUGAAGGAAUACCGAUGGCGAAGGCAGCUUCCUGGCAUCAUACUGACACUGAGGCUCGAAAGCGUGGGUAGCAAACAGGAUUAGAUACCCUGGUAGUCCACGCCGUAAACGAUGUCUACUAGUCGUUGGGUCCCUUGAGGACUUAGUGACGCAGCUAACGCAAUAAGUAGACCGCCUGGGGAGUACGGCCGCAAGGUUAAAACUCAAAUGAAUUGACGGGGGCCCGCACAAGCGGUGGAGCAUGUGGUUUAAUUCGAUGCAACGCGAAGAACCUUACCUGGUCUUGACAUAUCUAGAAUCCUGCAGAGAUGCGGGAGUGCCUUCGGGAAUUAGAAUACAGGUGCUGCAUGGCUGUCGUCAGCUCGUGUCGUGAGAUGUUGGGUUAAGUCCCGCAACGAGCGCAACCCUUGUCCUUAGUUACCAGCGGGUUAAGCCGGGAACUCUAAGGAUACUGCCAGUGACAAACUGGAGGAAGGCGGGGACGACGUCAAGUCAUCAUGGCCCUUACGACCAGGGCUACACACGUGCUACAAUGGUAGGUACAGAGGGCAGCUACACAGCGAUGUGAUGCGAAUCUCAAAAAGCCUAUCGUAGUCCAGAUUGGAGUCUGCAACUCGACUCCAUGAAGUAGGAAUCGCUAGUAAUCGCGGAUCAGAAUGCCGCGGUGAAUACGUUCCCGGGCCUUGUACACACCGCCCGUCACACCAUGGGAGUUGAUUGCACCAGAAGUGGAUAGCUUAACCUUCGGGGAGGC
rnacentral:rRNA from 1 species